GGUUAAGCGACUAAGCGUACACGGUGGAUGCCCUGGCAGUCAGAGGCGAUGAAGGGCGUGCUAAUCUGCGAUAAGCGCCGGUAAGGUGAUAUGAACCGUUAUAACCGGCGAUACCCGAAUGGGGAAACCCAGUGUGAUUCGUCACACUAUCAUUAACUGAAUCCAUAGGUUAAUGAGGCGAACCGGGGGAACUGAAACAUCUAAGUACCCCGAGGAAAAGAAAUCAACCGAGAUUCCCCCAGUAGCGGCGAGCGAACGGGGAGGAGCCCAGAGCCUGAAUCAGCAUGUGUGUUAGUGGAAGCGUCUGGAAAGGCGCGCGAUACAGGGUGACAGCCCCGUACACAAAAGCGCAUGUGCUGUGAGCUCGAUGAGUAGGGCGGGACACGUGGUAUCCUGUCUGAAUAUGGGGGGACCAUCCUCCAAGGCUAAAUACUCCUGACUGACCGAUAGUGAACCAGUACCGUGAGGGAAAGGCGAAAAGAACCCCGGCGAGGGGAGUGAAAAAGAACCUGAAACCGUGUACGUACAAGCAGUGGGAGCACCC
rnacentral:rRNA from 5 species